rnacentral:rRNA from 1 species
AUAAUGGGUCAGCGACUUAUAUUCUGUAGCAAGGUUAACCGAAUAGGGGAGCCGAAGGGAAACCGAGUCUUAACUGGGCGUUAAGUUGCAGGGUAUAGACCCGAAACCCGGUGAUCUAGCCAUGGGCAGGUUGAAGGUUGGGUAACACUAACUGGAGGACCGAACCGACUAAUGUUGAAAAAUUAGCGGAUGACUUGUGGCUGGGGGUGAAAGGCCAAUCAAACCGGGAGAUAGCUGGUUCUCCCCGAAAGCUAUUUAGGUAGCGCCUCGUGAAUUCAUCUCCGGGGGUAGAGCACUGUUUCGGCAAGGGGGUCAUCCCGACUUACCAACCCGAUGCAAACUGCGAAUACCGGAGAAUGUUAUCACGGGAGACACACGGCGGGUGCUAACGUCCGUCGUGAAGAGGGAAACAACCCAGACCGCCAGCUAAGGUCCCAAAGUCAUGGUUAAGUGGGAAACGAUGUGGGAAGGCCCAGACAGCCAGGAUGUUGGCUUAGAAGCAGCCAUCAUUUAAAGAAAGCGUAAUAGCUCACUGGUCGAGUCGGCCUGCGCGGAAGAUGUAACGGGGCUAAACCAUGCACCGAAGCUGCGGCAGCGACGCUUAUGCGUUGUUGGGUAGGGGAGCGUUCUGUAAGCCUGCGAAGGUGUGCUGUGAGGCAUGCUGGAGGUAUCAGAAGUGCGAAUGCUGACAUAAGUAACGAUAAAGCGGGUGAAAAGCCCGCUCGCCGGAAGACCAAGGGUUCCUGUCCAACGUUAAUCGGGGCAGGGUGAGUCGACCCCUAAGGCGAGGCCGAAAGGCGUAGUCGAUGGGAAACAGGUUAAUAUUCCUGUACUUGGUGUUACUGCGAAGGGGGGACGGAGAAGGCUAUGUUGGCCGGGCGA